UGUAUCUUUACCCAUUUCCUCUCUGAUACUGCACCUAAGCUUCCAAACCAACAGCACUCCCUCCUUUCAAAUCCAUCCUCCUGAAACCCUCCCACCUCUCUUUUGUAGUUUCUCUGUUCUUGGAAGUAAUCAUGUCUUUUGUUGGACAGGCUGUGUCUUUCAUAGGAGAGUCUGCUUCGUCGUCUUUCUUUCAGUCUCUGUUAGACAAGAUUGAGUGCCCUGAGUUACUGAAGUUUGCUCAUGAGCGGCAAGUUCUUGCUGAAAUUAGGAAGUGGGAGAAAUUUUUUACUGCAAUUCAAGUUGUUCUUGAUGAUGCAGAGGAGAAGCAG
rnacentral:misc_RNA from 1 species